rnacentral:rRNA from 1 species
UACGUAGGGCGCAAGCGUUAUCCGGAAUUAUUGGGCGUAAAGAGCUCGUAGGCGGUUUGUCGCGUCUGCCGUGAAAGUCCGGGGCUUAACUCCGGAUCUGCGGUGGGUACGGGCAGACUAGAGUGCAGUAGGGGAGACUGGAAUUCCUGGUGUAGCGGUGAAAUGCGCAGAUAUCAGGAGGAACACCGAUGGCGAAGGCAGGUCUCUGGGCUGUAACUGACGCUGAGGAGCGAAAGCGUGGGGAGCAAACAGG